UACGAAGGGGGCUAGCGUUGUUCGGAAUCACUGGGCGUAAAGCGCACGUAGGCGGAUUUUUAAGUCAGGGGUGAAAUCCCGAGGCUCAACCUCGGAACUGCCUUUGAUACUGGAGAUCUUGAGUCCGGAAGAGGUAAGUGGAACUGCGAGUUGAGAGGUGAAAUUCGUAGAUAUUCGCAAGAACACCAGUGGCGAAGGCGGCUUACUGGUCCGGAACUGACGCUGAGGUGCG
rnacentral:rRNA from 1 species